UUUAUUAGAAAUUCAUGUCAAGAGGAUGCAGAUUUUGCACAUUGCGAAGCGUUGGAAGAAUAUGAACAUCAUGGUGAUGAAGUAGUAGAAAACGAUGAAGUAGUAGAAAAUGAUGAAGUAGAGGACAAUGUUCCAAACACUGAUCAUGUACCGUACGUACCGACUGGUGCUAGAGCGAUGGAAGAUGUACGUGAUUCUAUCACUGAAGAGAUAACUAGAGGAUAUCGACUUCCAUAUUAGAAGUUAUUGUAGGCAAAAACAAUUAUUGUGUUAACUAUAAUUUAUUUCUGUUUUAUAUUUCUCAUUGUUUUUCUAUGUAUUUUCUUUCAACUUUAAUUUAUGAGGUUUUUU
rnacentral:sRNA from 1 species